rnacentral:rRNA from 1 species
AAAUUGAAGAGUUUGAUCAUGGCUCAGAUUGAACGCUGGCGGCAGGCCUAACACAUGCAAGUCGAACGGUAACAGGAAGCAGCUUGCUGCUUUGCUGACGAGUGGCGGACGGGUGAGUAAUGUCUGGGAAACUGCCUGAUGGAGGGGGAUAACUACUGGAAACGGUGGCUAAUACCGCAUAACGUCGCAAGACCAAAGAGGGGGACCUUCGGGCCUCUUACCAUCAGAUGUGCCCAGAUGGGAUUAGCUUGUUGGUGAGGUAA